GUGUCAGCCGCCGCGGUAAUACGUAGGGGCCAAGCGUUGUCCGGAUUUAUUGGGCGUAAAGAGCUCGUAGGCGGUUCGGCAAGUCAGCUGUGAAAUCUCCACGCUCAACGUGGAGGGGUCAGCUGAUACUGCUGUGACUUGAGUCCGGUAGGGGAGUGUGGAAUUCCCGGUGUAGCGGUGAAAUGCGCAGAUAUCGGGAGGAACACCAGUAGCGAAGGCGGCACUCUGGGCCGGUACUGACGCUGAGGAGCGAAAGCGUGGGGAGCAAACAGGAUUAGAAACCCUAGUAGUCC
rnacentral:rRNA from 1 species